AGUCGACGAAAAGCAGGGCUUCGGCCUUGUGGACAGUGGCGCACGGGUGAGUAACGCGUGGGGACCUGCCCUAGAGUGGGGGACAACCGCUGGAAACGGCGGCUAAUACCGCAUAAUCCCUGAGGGGGAAAGGCUUCGGCCGCUCUUGGAUGGACCCGCGUCUGAUUAGCUUGUUGGUGAGGUAACGGCUCACCAAGGCGACGAUCGGUAGCUGGUCUGAGAGGAUGAUCAGCCACACUGGGACUGAGACACGGCCCAGACUCCUACGGGAGGCAGCAGUGGGGAAUAUUGGACAAUGGGCGAAAGCCUGAUCCAGCAAUGCCGCGUGAGUGAAGAAGGCCUUAGGGUUGUAAAACUCUUUCACCCGUGAAGAUGAUGACGGUAGCGGGAGAAGAAGCCCCGGCUAACUCCGUGCCAGCAGCCGCGGUAAUACGGAGGGGGCUAGCGUUGUUCGGAAUUACUGGGCGUAAAGCGCACGUAGGCGGCGCAUCAAGUCAGAGGUGAAAGGCCUGGGCUCAACCUGGGGACUGCCUUUGAUACUGAUGUGCUUGAGUCC
rnacentral:rRNA from 1 species